rnacentral:ncRNA from 1 species
UUAUAGAGGCGCAGCAGACAUCAGUAGCAUAAAGCGUAAAAGGUUUCGCACACCGUUGCUUUCUGGCGAAAGGGGAAGCUGCCGAAGGGAGGAAAAGGCGUUUUCUUCUCUGGGCCCGGGGAGAAUACCCUGAGGGACUGUCGCAUCACCUGCGGAGUGCUAUGGAU